rnacentral:rRNA from 1 species
CCUACGGGGGGCAGCAGUGAGGAAUAUUGGUCAAUGGACGGAAGUCUGAACCAGCCAUGCCGCGUGCAGGAAGACGGCUCUAUGAGUUGUAAACCGCUUUUGCACAAGGGUAAACCUGAAUACGUGUAUUCAGCUGAAAGUACCGUACGAAUAAGGAUCGGCUAACUCCGUGCCAGCAGCCGCGGUAAUACGGAGGACCCAAGCGUUAACCGGAUUUAUUGGGUUUAAAGGGUGCGUAGGCGGGUUGAUAAGUUAUAGGUGAAAUGUGCGAGCUUAACUCGGGAACUGCCUCUGAUACUGUUGAUCUAGAGAGUAGAUGCGGUAGGCGGAAUGUAUGGUGUAGCGGUGAAAUGCUUAGAGAUCAUACAGAACCCCGAUUGCGAAGGCAGCUUACCAAUCUAUGUCUGACGUUGAGGCACGAAAGCGUGGGGAGCAAACAGGAUUAGAUACCCUGGUAGUC